AUGCAGUGGUGUUUGGGACACAUUUAAGAUGAUCCUCAAAUAAUCAGAUUCUAAACAUGAAAAAUUAUAACAAAUUAAUAAUUUUUCUAUUUAU